AAGACCGUACUUUUUAGGAUCAUUUCUAUAGUACGUGUCCCGUCUUUGUUCUCUAACAUAGACAACAUUCACAACCACGAUGAUGAGUGGUAGUGCUUUCUUCUGAGCGGGAAGCAGAUUACUAAGGUUGCUUUUACAGUGACGUUAGUAAUUAUUGAUGACCACUUAGUUCAAAUUUGAAAAAAUGGCGGUUUUAAUUUAUCGCCACUUGUUGACGAGAUCACAGAAUAGAA
rnacentral:snoRNA from 1 species